rnacentral:rRNA from 1 species
AGUGAACGCUGGCGGUAGGCCUAACACAUGCAAGUCGAACGGCAGCACAGUAAGAGCUUGCUCUUACGGGUGGCGAGUGGCGGACGGGUGAGGAAUACAUCGGAAUCUACUUUUUCGGGGGGGAUAACGUAGGGAAACUUACGCUAAUACCGCAUACGACCUACGGGUGAAAGCAGGGGAUCUUCGGACCUUGCGCGAUUGAAUGAGACGAUGUCGGAUUAGCUAGUUGGCGGGGUAAAGGCCCACCAAGGCGACGAUCCGUAGCUGGUCUGAGAGGAUGAUCAGCCACACUGGAACUGAGACACGGUCCAGACUCCUACGGGAGGCAGCAGUGGGGAAUAUUGGACAAAGGGCGCAAGCCUGAUCCAGCCAUACCGCGUGGGUGAAGAAGGCCUUCGGGUUGUAAAGCCCUUUUGUUGGGAAAGAAAAGCAGCAGGUUAAUACCCCGCUGUUCUGACGGUACCCAAAGAAUAAGCACCGGCUAACUUCGUG